rfam:Myotis lucifugus cont2.7241, whole genome shotgun sequence.
AGGCCCGGAGAGAGAGGCAGGGUCUGAUCCGCAGUCUCCGUGGCAGCUGUUGAUCAGCUGUUGCCUCUCUCUUUCUCUCCG